CCUACGGGAGGCAGCAGUGGGGGAUAUUGCACAAUGGGGGAAACCCUGAUGCAGCGAAGCCGCGUGAGCGAUGAAGGAUUUCGGUAUGUAAAGCUCUAUCAGCAGGGAAGAAAAUGACGGUACCUGACUCAGAAGCCCCGGCUAACGACGUGCCAGAAGCCGCGGUACUACGUAGGGGGCAAGCGUUAUCCGGAUUUAAUGGGUGUAAAGGGAGCGUAGACGGCAGUGCAAGUCUGAAGUGAAAGGCAAGGGCUCAACCCUUGGACUGCUUUGGAAACUGUGCUGCGGGAGUGUCGGAGAGGUAAGUGGAAUGCCUAGUGUAGCGGUGAAAUGCGUAGAUAUGAGGAGGAACACCAGUGGCGAAGGCGGCGUGCUGGACGAUGACUGACGUUGAGGCUCGAAAGCGUGGGGAGCAAACAGGAUUAGAUACCCGUGUAGUC
rnacentral:rRNA from 1 species